CCGUAAGGAGCCAGCGGCCGAAGGUGGGAUUAGUGAUUGGGGUGAAGUCGUAACAAGGUAGCCGUAGGAGAACCUGCGGCUGGAUCACCUCCUUU
rnacentral:ncRNA from 1 species